rnacentral:rRNA from 1 species
AGUGAACGCUGGCGGUAGGCCUAGCACAUGCAAGUCGAACGGCAGCACAGUAAGAGCUUGCUCUUACGGGUGGCGAGUGGCGGACGGGUGAGGAAUACAUCGGAAUCUACUUUUUCGUGGGGGAUAACGUAGGGAAACUUACGCUAAUACCGCAUACGACCUACGGGUGAAAGCAGGGGAUCUUCGGACCUUGCGCGAUUGAAUGAGCCGAUGUCGGAUUAGCUAGUUGGCGGGGUAAAGGCCCACCAAGGCGACGAUCCGUAGCUGGUCUGAGAGGAUGAUCAGCCACACUGGAACUGAGACACGGUCCAGACUCCUACGGGAGGCAGCAGUGGGGAAUAUUGGACAAUGGGCGCAAGCCUGAUCCAGCCAUACCGCGUGGGUGAAGAAGGCCUUCGGGUUGUAAAGCCCUUUUGUUGGGAAAGAAAAGCAGCAGGUUAAUACCCCGCUGUUCUGACAGUACCCAAAGAAUAAGCACCGGCUAACUUCGUG